rnacentral:rRNA from 1 species
GUGUCAGCCGCCGCGGUAAGACGUAGGGCGCGAGCGUUGUCCGGAUUUAUUGGGCGUAAAGAGCUCGUAGGCGGCUCGUCGCGUCGACCGUGAAAACAGGCAGCUCAACUGUGUGCUUGCGGUCGAUACGGGCGGGCUAGAGUUCGGUAGGGGAGACUGGAAUUCCUGGUGUAGCGGUGAAAUGCGCAGAUAUCAGGAGGAACACCGGUGGCGAAGGCGGGUCUCUGGGCCGAUACUGACGCUGAGGAGCGAAAGCGUGGGGAGCGAACAGGAUUAGAUACCCCCGUAGUCC